CUACAGUCCAGUUCCUACAAGGUGUCUGUUGCUGAGCCACCCAGGAACUCUCAGGCAGUUGCCAGCUGGAAGCAUCUAGAAGUAUGUAUGCAUCUACAACUGUGCGUAUCUGUUGUGUUGAUCACCAGCCUUAGUAAUAAGUACUCGAUAUUCCUUUGCAGGUUGCCUCCCACGCCCCAGAACAGGAGCUCUGUGGGGCAGGGCCUUUGUCUUACUUUCUGCCUCUUUUCCAGCAGAGCCAAGGACUGGAAAGAUGGUUUUGCCAGAUAUAGAAUUCUUGGUUGGCAGAUUUACCUGGUUUAUUCUUUCAGCACUUGAACCAACUCAUACCACCACGUUCUGGCCUCCAUGGUUUCUGAUCAGACGAUCUCAAUUGACCUAACUUCAAGUUCGCUAAUUCUUUCAUCUGCUUACUCAAACCUGC
ensembl:lncRNA